rnacentral:rRNA from 1 species
GACGAACGCUGGCGGCGUGCUUAACACAUGCAAGUCGAACGGAAAGGCCCUGCUUUUGUGGGGUGCUCGAGUGGCGAACGGGUGAGUAACACGUGAGUAACCUGCCCUUGACUUUGGGAUAACUUCAGGAAACUGGGGCUAAUACCGGAUAGGAGCUCCUGCUGCAUGGUGGGGGUUGGAAAGUUUCGGCGGUUGGGGAUGGACUCGCGGCUUAUCAGCUUGUUGGUGGGGUAGUGGCUUACCAAGGCUUUGACGGGUAGCCGGGCUGAGAGGGUGACCGGCCACAUUGGGCCUGGGAUACGGCCCAGACUCCUACGGGAGGCAGCAGUGGGGAAUAGUGCACAAUGGGCGGAAGCCUGAUGCAGCAACGCCGCGUGCGGGAUGACGGCCUUCGGGUUGUAAUCCGCUUUCGCCUGUGACGAAGCGUGAGUGACGGUAACGGGUAAAGAAGCACCGGCUAACUACGUG